rnacentral:lncRNA from 1 species
UGCAGUAGAUGAGUCGGCUCACUGUUGGAUAUAAUUGACCCAUUAUAAUAAUUCUAGGAUAUAAUUUUAUACAUAAAAAUAUUGAUUUGAUCAAUAAAAAGGCAAGUUUUAUUUUCCUUCAAAUAUGAUGUGUCCUUAAAUCGCCUAUGGAAUUAAUGCUUAGAGAUACAUAUUCUCAAGGUGUUGAGAAUUAGAAGCAUAUAUAAUUAAUUUCUAAAUUACUCUCGAUCAUAGUAUCAUCAUGAAGAUGGUGAUCAAUUUGGAU